UAGUCCACGCCGUAAACGAUGUCGACUUGGAGGUUGUUCCCUUGAGGAGUGGCUUCAGGAGCUAACGCGUUAAGUCGACCGCCUGAGGAGUACGACCGCAAGGUUAAAACUCAAAUGAAUUGACGGGGGCCCGCACAAGCGGUGGAGCAUGUGGUUUAAUUCGAUGCAACGCGAAGAACCUUACCUACUCUUGACAUCCAGAGAACUUAGCAGAGAUGCUUUGGUGCCUUCGGGAACUCUGAGACAGGUGCUGCAUGGCUGUCGUCAGCUCGUGUUGUGAAAUGUUGGGUUAAGUCCCGCAACGAGCGCAACCCUUAUCCUUUUUUGCCAGCGGUUCGGCCGGGAACUGAAGGAGACUGCCAGUGAUAAACUGGAGGAAGGUGGGGAUGACGUCAAGUCAUCAUGGCCCUUACGAGUAGGGCUACACACGUGCUACAAUGGCGCAUACAAAGAGAAGCGACCUCGCGAGAGCAAGCGGACCUCAUAAAGUGCGUCGUAGUCCGGAUC
rnacentral:rRNA from 1 species